GUGAGAGAAAGGGAGAAGCUUUCUAAUGAGAGGAAAUGAGAAGAAAAGGGAACAGAAUGAAGAAAGAAAAUGAAGAGUGCUAAGGAUCUCUGAAGGAGAAGAGAUGGUAUUGAAGCUAGGAGAUUCUUGAAACUUCAAAUAAUGAAAGAGGUGUUAAAAGUCUCAUGGAAAAGGUGAAAAAUGGGAGAGAAAUGGCUAUGAGUGUUGAAGGCUAAAGUUGUGUAGCCUAUGUAUUUUGGUCGGUAAUGUAAAAUAAAUUGUAUUUCAUUUUGUUUUCAUGUGUACGAAGCUUCCACGUUAUGUAUGGUGGCUAAGAGAGGGAAAAAUUUUGAUGUGUUUGAGGUAUGUUGUAAUAAAUAAAAAUAAGAUGGUUUUUGGUUGGAAAUGUGAAAUAUUUGAGACAUUUUUAUUAAAUUAAGUUUCUGGAAAAUAUGGGUUUAAAAG